rnacentral:snRNA from 1 species
GUGCUCUCUUCAGCAGCACAUAUACUAAAAUUGGAAGGACACAGAGAAGAAUAGCAUGGCCCCUGCACCAGGAUGGCAUGCAAAUUUGUGAAGGAUCAUGUACAUGG